GGGCUGCUGUGCUGUAAAACCUGGACCUCCAAGACGUCUGUGCCCCUCUCUCUGCUAUUACGCUGACAUCUCACUGGACCCCACAACCUCACAGUUUGGACGCAGAGCAAACAAGAUUGGAAGCUGCGGAUUGUUAGGGAGAAUAGACUGAAGAGUAAUGGAGCUGCACGGCGUCUCAGUUACAGCUGCAACGACCUGAAGACUGUGAAGCAACUUUGAAAAUGGGCCGAAUCCUUUCAGAGAUGAGGACACGGUCCCGGAAGGAAGCAGCCCAGUAAAUCCGCACCGCCGGACUUAAAAAGGAAAUGGUGUCUGAAGACAGGUG